rnacentral:rRNA from 1 species
CUCCUACGGGAGGCAGCAGUGAGGAAUAUUGGUCAAUGGACGAGAGUCUGAACCAGCCAAGUAGCGUGAAGGAUGACUGCCCUAUGGGUUGUAAACUUCUUUUAUAUGGGAAUAAAGUAUUCCACGUGUGGGAUUUUGUAUGUACCAUAUGAAUAAGGAUCGGCUAACUCCGUGCCAGCAGCCGCGGUAAUACGGAGGAUCCGAGCGUUAUCCGGAUUUAUUGGGUUUAAAGGGAGCGUAGGUGGAUUGUUAAGUCAGUUGUGAAAGUUUGCGGCUCAACCGUAAAAUUGCAGUUGAAACUGGCAGUCUUGAGUACAGUAGAGGUGGGCGGAAUUCGUGGUGUAGCGGUGAAAUGCUUAGAUAUCACGAAGAACUCCGAUUGCGAAGGCAGCUCACUAGACUGCAACUGACACUGAUGCUCGAAAGUGUGGGUAUCAAACAGGAUUAGAUACCCUGGUAGUCCACACAGUAAACGAUGAAUACUCGCUGUUUGCGAUAUACAGUAAGCGGCCAAGCGAAAGCAUUAAGUAUUCCACCUGGGGAGUACGCCGGCAACGGUGAAACUCAAAGGAAUUGACGGGGGCCCGCACAAGCGGAGGAACAUGUGGUUUAAUUCGAUGAUACGCGAGGAACCUUACCCGGGCUUAAAUUGCAUUUGAAUAUAUUGGAAACAGUAUAGCCGUAAGGCAAAUGUGAAGGUGCUGCAUGGUUGUCGUCAGCUCGUGCCGUGAGGUGUCGGCUUAAGUGCCAUAACGAGCGCAACCCUUAUCUUUAGUUACUAACAGGUCAUGCUGAGGACUCUAGAGAGACUGCCGUCGUAAGAUGUGAGGAAGGUGGGGAUGACGUCAAAUCAGCACGGCCCUUACGUCCGGGGCUACACACGUGUUACAAUGGGGGGUACAGAAGGCAGCUACCUGGUGACAGGAUGCUAAUCCCAAAAGCCUCUCUCAGUUCGGAUCGAAGUCUGCAACCCGACUUCGUGAAGCUGGAUUCGCUAGUAAUCGCGCAUCAGCCAUGGCGCGGUGAAUACGUUCCCGGGCCUUGUACACACCGC